rnacentral:tRNA from 1 species
UCCUGAUGGCUCAGAUGGUAAAGAAUCUGCCUGCAAUGCAGGAAACCCGGGUUCAAUCCCUGGAUCGGGAA